rnacentral:rRNA from 2 species
UACGGCGGCCAUAGCGACAGGGAAACGCCCGGACCCAUCCCGAACCCGGAAGCUAAGCCUGUCAGCGCCGAUGGUACUGCACCCGCCAGGGUGUGGGAGAGUAGGACACCGCCGAAC